GGUCAAGCUACAAAGGGCGCAUGGUGAAUGCCUUGGCAUCAGGAGCCGAUGAAGGACGCGAUAAGCUGCGAUAAGCUUCGGGUAGGCGCACAUAGCCAGAGAUCCGAAGAUUUCCGAAUGAGGAAACUCACAUGGGAAACCCCAUGUAUCAUAAAGUGAAUACAUAGCUUUAUGAAGGUAUACCCAGGGAACUGAAACAUCUAAGUACCUGGAGGAAGAGAAAGAAAAAUCGAUUUUCUUAGUAGCGGCGAGCGAAAAGGAAAGAGCCCAAACCAGAGAUUUAUCUCUGGGGUUGCGGACAGAACAUAACGAGAAAUCAUAGUUAAUUGAACACAACUGGAAAGUUGGACCACAGUGGGUAAUAGUCCCGUAAGUGAAAACUAUGAUAAUCAGUUCUGCACCAGAGUACCACGAGACACGUGAAACCUUGUGGGAAGCAGGGAGGACCACCUCCCAAGGCUAAAUACUACCUGAUGACCGAUAGUGAAGCAGUACCGUGAGGGAAAGGUGAAAAGAACCCCGGGAGGGGAGUGAAAUAGAACCUGAAACCAUGUGCCUACAACCGAUCAGAGCACCUUAUGUGUGUGAUGAUGUGCUUUUUGUAGAACGAGCCAACGAGUUACGGUAUGUAGCGAGGUUAAGUACUUAAGGUACGGAGCCGAAGGGAAACCGAGUCUUAAUAGGGCGACUAGUUGCAUGCUGUAGACCCGAAACCGGGUGACCUAUCCAUGGCCAGGUUGAAGCGAGGGUAAAACCUCGUGGAGGACCGAACCACGUUGCUGUUGAAAAAGCAUGGGAUGAGCUGUGGAUAGCGGAGAAAUUCCAAUCGAACUCGGAUAUAGCUGGUUCUCCUCGAAAUAGCUUUAGGGCUAGCGUCGGAAAAUGUGAGUAGUGGAGGUAGAGCACUGAAUAGGCUAGGGGGCAUAGCGCUUACCGAACCUUAUCAAACUCCGAAUGCCACAUACUAUCAGUCCGGCAGUCAGACUAUGAAAGAUAAGUUCCAUGGUCAAAAGGGAAACAGCCCAGAUCGUCAGCUAAGGUCCCAAAGUGUAAGUUAAGUGGAAAAGGAUGUGGGAUUUCUAAGACAACUAGGAUGUUGGCUUAGAAGCAGCCACUCAUUAAAAGAGUGCGUAAUAGCUCACUAGUCAAGAGAUCCUGCGCCGAAAAUGUCCGGGGCUCAAACUUACCACCGAAGCUACGGGUUCACGUUUUACGUGAGCGGUAGAGGAGCGUCGUAAUCGGGCUGAAGUCGUACCGUAAGGAGCGGUGGACUGAUUACGAGUGAGAAUGUUGGCAUUAGUAGCGAGAUGUAGGCGAGAAUCCUACAGGCCGAAUAUCUAAGGUUUCCUGAGUAAAGUUUGUCUUCUCAGGGUUAGUCGGGACCUAAGGCGAGGCCGAAAGGCGUAGUCGAUGGACAAUUGGUUGAUAUUCCAAUACCACUAUAAUCGUUAUUAUCGAUGGUGUGACGGAGAAGGAUAGGAUGUGCUAGCUAUUGGAUGCUAGUCUAAGCGUUUAGGGAGUUGGGAUUGGCAAAUCCGUUCCAACAAUUCUGAGGCGUGAUGGGGAAGGUUCUACGGAACCGAAGUAUCUGAUUCCAUGCUUCCAAGAAAAGCAUCUAGAGAGAGAAGUAGUGCCCGUACCGCAAACCGACACAGGUAGAUGAGGAGAGAAUCCUAAGGCCGACGGGAAGAAUUGCAGUUAAGGAACUAGGCAAAUUGACCCCGUACUUCGGAGAAGGGGUGCCUGAGAAAUCAGGCGCAGAGAAUAGGCACAAGCAACUGUUUAACAAAAACACAGGUCUCUGCUAAAGCGAAAGCUGAUGUAUAGGGGCUGACGCCUGCCCGGUGCUGGAAGGUUAAGGGGAACACUUAGCGAAGUUUCGCGAAGGUGUGAACUUAAGCCCCAGUAAACGGCGGCCGUAACUAUAACGGUCCUAAGGUAGCGAAAUUCCUUGUCAGGUAAGUUCUGACCCGCACGAAUGGCGUAAUGACUUGUGCACUGUCUCAACUGCAAAUCCGGCGAAGUUGUAGUGCGAGUGAAGAUGCUCGCUACCCGCGAUUGGACGGAAAGACCCCGUAGAGCUUUACUGUAGCUUAGCAUUGAAUUUCGGUAUUGUCUGUACAGGAUAGGUGGGAGACUGGGAAACUAGGGC
rnacentral:rRNA from 1 species